rnacentral:rRNA from 1 species
UACAGAGGUCCCAAGCGUUGUUCGGAUUCACUGGGCGUAAAGGGUGCGCAGGUGGCAUGGCAAGUUUGAUGUGAAAGCUUCGGGCUUAACCCGGAAAUGGCAUUGAAUACUGCUGUGCUGGAGGAUUGGAGGGGGGACUGGAAUUCUUGGUGUAGCAGUGAAAUGCGUAGAUAUCAAGAGGAACACCAGUGGCGAAGGCGAGUCCCUGGACAAUACCUGACACUGAGGCACGAAAGCCAAGGGAGCAAACAGG